rnacentral:rRNA from 1 species
UAACAAGGAUUCCCCUAGUAACUGCGAGUGAAGCGGGAAAAGCUCAAAUUUAAAAUCUGGCGGUCUUUGGCCGUCCGAGUUGUAGUCUGGAGAAGUGCUUUCCGCGCUGGACCGUGUAUAAGUCUCUUGGAACAGAGCGUCAUAGAGGGUGAGAAUCCCGUCUUUGACACGGACUACCAGUGCUUUGUGAUGCGCUCUCAAAGAGUCGAGUUGUUUGGGAAUGCAGCUCAAAAUGGGUGGUGAAUUCCAUCUAAAGCUAAAUAUUGGCGAGAGACCGAUAGCGAACAAGUACCGUGAGGGAAAGAUGAAAAGCACUUUGGAAAGAGAGUUAAACAGUACGUGAAAUUGCUGAAAGGGAAACGCUUGAAGUCAGUCGCGUUGUCCGGAACUCAGCCUUGCUUUUGCUUGGUGCACUUUCCGGAUGACGGGUCAGCAUCGAUUUUGACCGUCGGAAAAGGGCUGGAGUAAUGUGGCACCUCCGGGUGUGUUAUAGACUCUGGUCGCAUACGGCGGUUGGGAUCGAGGAACGCAGCGCGCCGCAAGGCAGGGGUUCGCCCACUUUCGCGCUUAGGAUGCUGGCAUAAUGGCUUUAAACGAC